GACAGAGGGUGCAAACGUUGUUCGGAAUUACUGGGCGUAAAGCGUGUGUAGGCGGCCACGUAAGUCAGAUGUGAAAGCCCCAGGCUCAACCUGGGAAGUGCACUCGAUACUGCGUGGCUUGAGUAUCGGAGAGGUUGGUGGAAUUCUCGGUGUAGAGGUGAAAUUCGUAGAUAUCGGGAGGAACACCAGUGGCGAAGGCGCGGCCUGGGCC
rnacentral:rRNA from 1 species